GCCGACGUCGCCUAAUGGUCGGGCAGCAGUCUCGAAAACUGCCUUCCGCAAGGAUCUGUAGGUUCGAAUCCUACCGUCGGCG
rnacentral:tRNA from 1 species